GACGAACGCUGGCGGCGUGCCUAAUACAUGCAAGUAGAACGCACAGUUUAUACCGUAGCUUGCUACACCAUAGACUGUGAGUUGCGAACGGGUGAGUAACGCGUAGGUAACCUGCCUGGUAGCGGGGGAUAACUAUUGGAAACGAUAGCUAAUACCGCAUAAUAUUAAUUAUUGCAUGAUAAUUAAUUGAAAGGUGCAAUUGCACCACUACCAGAUGGACCUGCGUUGUAUUAGCUAGUAGGUGAGGUAACGGCUCACCUAGGCGACGAGACAUAGCCGACCUGGGAGGGGGAUUGGCCAACCUGGGAACGAGACACGGCCCAGACUUCUUAGGGAAGGAGCCGGAGGGAAUCUUCGGCAAUGGGAGGAAGGCUGAACGGAGAAAGCCGGGGGAGUGAAGAAGGGUUUCGGGUCGUAAAGGUCUGUUGUAAGGGAAGAACGGGUGGGAGAGUGGAAAGUUCACACUGUGACGGUAUCUUACCAGAAAGCGACGGCUAACUACGUG
rnacentral:rRNA from 1 species